rnacentral:rRNA from 1 species
CUCAGGAUAAACGCUGGCGGCAUGCCUAAUACAUGCAAGUCGAACGGGGGUGCUUGCACCCCAGUGGCGAACGGGUGAGUAACACGUAUCUAACCUACCUCAUAGCGGGGGAUAACUUUUGGAAACGAAAGAUAAUACCGCAUAUGAAUCUUAUUAUCGCAUGAGAAAAGAUUGAAAGGACCGUUUGGUUCACUAUGAGAUGGGGAUGCGGCGUAUUAGUUAGUAGGUGAGGUAAUGGCUCACCUAGGCGAUGAUACGUAGCCGAACUGAGAGGUUGAUCGGCCACAUUGGGACUGAGAUACGGCCCAGACUCCUACGGGAGGCAGCAGUAGGGAAUUUUUCACAAUGGACGAAAGUCUGAUGAAGCAAUGCCGUGUGAGUGAUGACGGCCUUUGGGUUGUAAAGCUCUGUUGUAAGGGAAGAAAAAAUAGAGUAGGAAAUGCCUCUAUAUUGACGGUACCUUACCAGAAAGCCACGGCUAACUAUGUGCCAGCAGCCGCGGUAAUACAUAGGUGGCAAGCGUUAUCCGGG